AAUUCGAUUAGAGUUUGAUCCUGGCUCAGGAUGAACGCUAGCUACAGGCUUAACACAUGCAAGUCGAGGGGAAACGGGAGGAUAGCUUGCUAUCCUUGUCGUCGACCGGCGCACGGGUGAGUAACGCGUAUCCAACCUGCCAUCCAGUGGAGGAUAGCCUUUCGAAAGAAAGGAUAAUACUCCAUGACCUCCUCAGAGGACAUCUGACGAGGAGCAAAGAUUUAUCGCUGGGUGAUGGGGAUGCGUCUGAUUAGGCAGUUGGCGGGGUAAAGGCCCACCAAACCGACGAUCAGUAGGGGUUCCGAGAGGAAGGUCCCCCACAUUGGAACUGAGACACGGUCCAAACUCCUACGGGAGGCAGCAGUGAGGAAUAUUGGUCAAUGGACGUAAGUCUGAACCAGCCAAGUAGCGUGCAGGAAGACGGCCCUAUGGGUUGUAAACUGCUUUUAUGCGGGGGUAAAGUGAGCGACGUGUCAUUCAUUGCAAGUACCGCAAGAAUAAGGACCGGCUAAUUCCGUGCCAGCAGCCGCGGUAAUACGGAAGGUCCUGGUGUUAUCCGGAUUUAUUGGGUUUAAAGGGAGCGUAGGCCGUCAGGCAAGCGUGUUGUGAAAUGUCGUGGCUCAACCAUGGACUUGCAGCGCGAACUGCCCGACUUGAGUGCGCGGAAAGCAGGCGGAAUUUGUGGUGUAGCGGUGAAAUGCUUAGAUAUCACGAAGAACCCCGAUUGCGAAGGCAGCCUGCUGUAGCGCUACUGACGCUGAAGCUCGAAAGUGCGGGUAU
rnacentral:rRNA from 1 species